rnacentral:ncRNA from 1 species
AAAUGACAAAGGCAAACUAUUUGAAAAGAUAGGACGCAAAGUUUAGGGUCUAAGGUUUAAUACUAAUGAUCGCCUGACUACCAAU